rnacentral:rRNA from 1 species
UACGUAGGUGGCAAGCGUUGUCCGGAAUUAUUGAGCGUAAAGCGCGCGCAGGCGGUCCUUUAAGUCUGAUGUGAAAGCCCACGGCUCAACCGUGGAGGGUCAUUGGAAACUGGGGGACUUGAGUGCAGAAGAGGAAAGCGGAAUUCCACGUGUAGCGGUGAAAUGCGUAGAGAUGUGGAGGAACACCAGUGGCGAAGGCGGCUUUCUGGUCUGUAACUGACGCUGAGGCGCGAAAGCGUGGGGAGCAAACAGG